AAAACCCAAAGGACUUGGCGGUGCUUUAGACCCACCUAGAGGAGCCUGUUCUAGAACCGAUACCCCCCGUUCAACCUCACCCUCCCUUGUUUUACCCGCCUAUAUACCGCCGUCGUCAGCUUACCCCGUGAGGGACAAACAGUAAGCAAAAUUGGCACACCCCAAAACGUCAGGUCGAGGUGUAGCGUAUGAGAGGGGAAGAAAUGGGCUACAUUCGUUAGUCUAACGAACUUACGAAAACCAUAAUGAAACCGUAUGGUCAAAGGAGGAUUUAGCAGUAAGCGGAGAGUAAAGCGCUCCACUGAAACAGGCCCUGAAGCGCGCACACACCGCCCGUCACCCUCUGAAGU
rnacentral:rRNA from 1 species